rnacentral:tRNA from 1 species
UGCUCCGCUGGUGUAGUUCGGCCAAGCAUGCGGGCCUCUCGAGCCCACGACCGGGGUUCAAAUCCCCGGCGGAGCAU